AAGCAGAGGCUAGAUCAAGUGAGGCAGAGAGGAAAAAACUGCCUAAUCCUUCCUUAAUUUCUGCUUUGUUGAAGGAUGAUUACAUUUUUAAAAAGCCCUAAGCCUGAAGGAGUGACAGAAAGCAGCAGUACUAGAACCAAAACCAGAAGGAGAGAGCCUCCCUAGGAAAGAAGAACCCAGAGUGAAUGGAGUUGAGUACUUGGAGAUGCAAAGAGACCAAGAAAUUAAAGACUGAACCAGAGAAGAGUUCUAGAGGAGACUGUUCUUUGAGAACGUGGAGGAUGAUCAAGCUAAAGGAGCCCAGGGUUUUGAUAUCUCCUGGAGACCAGAGGCUUGACAGCCACCUGCCAGCCACAUUUGCGCCCUUCACCACAUUGUGAUCUCUGAAUGAACUCUUCCUACUGAUGCCUAGCAGCCUCUAUUCCAGCUGCACCCAUGGAGCAGUUCCAGGCAUGGAGAAGUUCCAGAACCAGGAAUCAAACCUGCACCGUAGCUGCAACUGAAGUCACAGCAGUGACAAAGCUGGAUCCUUAACCUGCUGCACCACCAGGGAACUCCAAUUUUUUCUAAUAUUUUAAUUCUAUCUUUUCUAAUUAGAAAAAAAUAGAUAUUACUAUUGCCAUUGUUGUUUACAUGUCACAUUGGUUUAGAAUUGCCCACAUAUUGUCUUUCUCUAACAAAAGAUCUGAUAAAUAAUCACAUCUACUUGUUCAGACUCUGAACUAAUUAAAAGAUAAGCAAGGAUUCAAACAUAUGGGGAAAAAAUGACAUAUUCAAGAAUGUGGCUUAAAUCUGCAGGCAAGAGAGUUUCAUGAUACUGAGCCACAGAAAGAAACUUUAUCCACACUCCAAUGAAAAUAGGGGUCCAUCUCAAUGUGAGAGUACUCCCCUAGAAAUAUGGAUCGAGGAUCAGCAUGGACCUUGUGCAUGCUAGCCAUAGGCAUCUGAUUACAAACAGUGUACAGCACCAGUUCUUUUGUUAUAUGUUAAGUACCAUAUAAUAGAAAGUUUUGUAAUCAAUGUAAAAUCCUCUGUUCUGCCCCUUUCUUAAGAAUUUGUAGCACUUAAAUGAAGAUGAAAGUUUAAAUCUGCUUUUCUUUUUAGGGCUGUACUAUGGCAUAUGGAAGUUUCUGGGCUAGGGGUUGAAUUGGAGCUGCAGGUGCCUGCCUACACCACAGCCACAGCAAAGCUGGAUCCAAGCCACAUUGCAACCUACACCACAGCUCAUGGCAAUGCCAGAUCUUUAGCCCAUUGAGUGUGGCCAGGGAUCAAACCCAAGUCUUCAUGGAUUACUAGUCACGUUCAUUACCACUGAGCCACAACAGGAACUCCUAAAAUGAUUUUCUUAAACUACAAUUCUCUGAUAAUAUUUUUAAAUUUUUUUUAUAAUUUCUAGGGAGAACAAGAUAUCAAAGGGUUGACACAGGAGCAUAUAACACUGUGGUAUUUAAAAUAUAUAGCAAAUAGCUAUAUAUAUAUAUAUAUAAAGAGAGAGAGAGCAUGAGACAGAGAGAGAGAAGUGUUUUCAACGAAUUCUAGGGGUCAAGAUCAGAGCUCUUUCCUUGAAGAACUGAGCUAGUAGGCAAAUCAUUUAAGUAAUGAUUGUGCAAAGGAUAUAUAAGAAUCAGUCAUUAAAGCUGAGGUAAAAUCAGGGAUAGCACAUUGAAAUUUUGGCAGAAAUGAUAUCAUUAAUAUACAGGCCAAAGUUUAAAAUUUAAUCAGAAAGCUAAAUAUUGCACUAGCUUCAGGAUGGGACUAGGCGUUCUCUUGUGGUAUAGCAGGUUAAGGACCCAGUGUCACCACUGCUAUAGCAUGGAUUUGACCCCUGGCUUGGGAACUUCCACAUGCCACAGGUGUGGUCAAAAUCUUAAAUAAAUCAAUAAAGGAUGGAUUAGUGUUCCAUGACUGUCCUAUAUGGAAAAUGAGAUGAUGACCAGCACCUAGAGACACAAGUGUGGCAGGAGUCAGAAUUAACUGGCCCACUCUACUUGUAGAAUAAAAUCUUUUUCUAAAACCCACAAACUAAUAGAUUAGGGUUUGGAGGGCAAGUCAGCAAGAGUAGCUCCUUAUCUACAUGGGUCAGGCCCAUUGAUUGUUUACAAGUGAAGAGAUGGAAUAUAAUACAUAUUAGUAGUGGACAUGACCCUUGGCCAAGAAUUCCAGAGUCUUCCUUGCACAUGCUAUUUACAUGAAGUACUGCAGUAGUCAGAGUAUACCACCUCCACGGAUGUCUCUAGUAGAUGAGAAUUUAAGACUGUACAGAGAGAGCAAAAUGAGCAUGGGAAGGAAAGUAUAGUUAGUUCACAGAACUUUCAGUGCUGUAGCUGCUAUUCAGUGUGAUGGGUGGAAAUAAACCACCCCAUGGGAGUGGAAUCUGUCCAGAGAAAGAGAGAAAUGGCUUAUGUGGGAAAAUGUUGGUUGGAGAAGCAUUUGACAGUUUUCAUCAGUUAUUAACACAAAGGUAAGAGAGAAUAAGUGUAGAGGGGGGAAAAGUGGGAAAAGUUUGGAAAAGUAAUAUCUAGAUUUUUAGAGGGAUUCUGAAGCCAUGAAUACCAAGGCUGGUCAGCAUGGUUUUUUUUGUUUGUUUGUUUUUGUUUUUUGUUUGUUUUUUGUUUUGUUUUGUUUUUUGCUGAGAAAAACAGCAAGAGAAAACCAGCAAGAGAAAACAGAAGGUCGAUGUACUGAUGGAGUGAAGAUGAAUUUUUUCAAUCAUCUGACAACAAAUAUAUGCUUCAUGUGUUGUGAUCUCUGGCUGUCUCUGG
rnacentral:lncRNA from 1 species